CUACCAUGGCAGUCACGGGUAACGGAGAAUUAGGGUUCGAUUCCGGAGAGGGAGCCUGAGAAACGGCUACCACAUCUAUGGAAGGCAGCAGGCGCGUAAAUUACCCAAUCCUGAUUCAGGGAGGUAGUGACAAGAAAUAACAACCUAUGUACUUCGGUACUGUGGAUUGUAAUGAGUUCAAUUUAAAACACUGAACGAGGAACAAUUGGAGGGCAAGUCUGGUGCCAGCAGCCGCGGUAAUUCCAGCUCCAAUAGCGUAUAUUAAAGUUGUUGCAGUUAAAAAGCUCGUAGUUGAAUUUCUAGGCAGGUGUAACUUGGACUUUGUUCGGUUAUAUUUGUCUAUCCGACAUUGAACUAUAUUGGAUAUUAAGUUAUCCGUAUAGCGAACUGUCAUUUUACUUUGAAAAAAUUAGAGUGUUUCAGGCAGGCAAUUGCCCGAAUAUCUUAGCAUGGAAUAAUGGAAUAGGACUUUGGUUCAUUUGAUUGGUUAUUGAAUCAGAGUAAUGAUUAAUAGGGACAGUUGGGGGCAUUAGUAUUUAAUUGUCAGAGGUGAAAUUCUUGGAUUUAUUAAAGACUAACUUAUGCGAAAGCAUCUGCCAAGGAUGUUUUCAUUAAUCAA
rnacentral:rRNA from 1 species